rnacentral:rRNA from 1 species
AGCGGGGCCCAUCCCGUAAGGCUAAAUACUCCCGAGAGACCGAUAGCGAACCAGUACUGUGAAGGAAAGGUGAAAAGAACCUCGAACAGAGGAGUGAAAAAGACCCUGAAACCAUACGCCUACAAGCGGUCGGAGCCCCUACGUGGGGUGACGGCGUGCCUUUUGCAUAAUGAACCUACGAGUUACUUUUGCCAGCCAGGUUAAUCGAUUCAGUCGAGGAGCCGAAGCGAAAGCGAGUCUUAAUAGGGCGGUAUAAGUUGGCAGGAGUAGACGCGAAACCAAGUGAUCUACCCAUGAGCAGGUUGAAGGUUAGGUAACACUAACUGGAGGACCGCACCGGUAAACGUUGAAAAGUUUUCGGAUGACUUGUGGGUAGGGGUGAAAGGCUAAUCAAACUUGGAGAUAGCUCGUACUCCCCGAAAUGCAUUUAGGUGCAGCCUUCUGAAUAUAUUUAAGAGGUAGAGCGACUGAUAAGAUGCGAGGGCUUCACCGCCUAUCAAGUCUUGAUAAACUCCGAAUGCUUAAAUAUGAAUCAGAGGAGUGAGGGCAUGGGUGCUAAGGUCCAUGUCCGAGAGGGAAAUAACCCAGACCACCGGCUAAGGUCCCGAAAUAACGGCUAAGUUGAAUUAACGAAGUAGAAUUGCAAAGACAGCUAGGAUGUUGGCUUGGAAGCAGCCAUUCAUUUAAAGAGUGCGUAACAGCUCACUAGUCGAGGAGUUUUGCAUGGAUAAUAAUCGGGCAUAAGCCCUUUACCGAAGCUGUGGAUGUCGCAAGACAUGGUAGGGGAGCAUUCCGGCGGCGACGAAGGCCGUCCUCGAGGACGACUGGAGCUUUCGGAAAAGCAAAUGUAGGUAUAAGUAACGAUAAAGGGGGCGCGAAACCCCCUCGCCAUAAGACUAAGGAUUCCUGAUCAACGCUAAUCGGAUCAGGGUAAGUCGGGCCCUAAGGCGCAGCCGAACGGCGUAGCCGAUGGAAGAAACGGUAAAGAUUCCGUUACUGGAUAUAGGAGCGAUGUGGAGACGGAGAAGUGACACACCCGCCUGCCGACGGAAGCGCAGGUUAAAGGAAGUAGGUAAACGCCGGGUAGGCAAAUCCGCCUGGCGUGCCGAAACUGACAGUAUCGAGAGCCCCCGGGCAAUCGAAUAGCGGUGGUAAUCAGGCUCCCAAGAAAAUCCGCUAAGCAUAUUCUAUAUUCACCCGUACCCCAAACGGACACACGUAGUCGGGUAGAAUAUACCAAGGCGCUCGAAAGACUCACGGUUAAGGAACUAGGCAAAUUGACCCUGUAACCUCGGGAAAAAGGGUCCCCAGUAAGAUGGGGCGCAGAGAAUAGGUCCAGGCAACUGUUUAACAAAAACACAGGGCUGUGCAAAAUUUAGAGAUGAAGUAUACAGCCUGACACCUGCCCGGUGCCGGAAGGUUAAGAGGAGAGCUUAUCGCAAGAGAAGGCUUGAAUUGAAGCCCCGGUAAACGGCGGCCGUAACUAUAACGGUCCUAAGGUAGCGAAAUUCCUUGUCGG